rnacentral:rRNA from 1 species
GAUGAACGCUAGCGGCAGGCUUAAUACAUGCAAGUCGUGGGGCAGCAUGAAUGUAGCAAUACAUUUGAUGGCGACCGGCAAACGGGUGCGGAACACGUACACAACCUUCCUAUAAGUGGGGAAUAGCCCAGAGAAAUUUGGAUUAAUACCCCGUAACAUAAUGAUGUGGCAUCACAUUAUUAUUAUCGCUACGGCGCUUAUUGAUGGGUGUGCGGCUGAUUAGAUAGUUGGCGGGGUAACGGCCCACCAAGUCUACGAUCAGUAGCUGAUGUGAGAGCAUGAUCAGCCACACGGGCACUGAGACACGGGCCCGACUCCUACGGGAGGCAGCAGUAAGGAAUAUUGGUCAAUGGACGCAAGUCUGAACCAGCCAUGCCGCGUGAAGGAUUAAGGUCCUCUGGAUUGUAAACUUCUUUUAUCUGGGACGAAAAAAGGCGAUUCUUCGUCACUUGACGGUACCAGAUGAAUAAGCACCGGCUAACUCCGUGCCAGCAGCCGCCGUAAUAC